rnacentral:lncRNA from 1 species
CUUUUGCCGAUGCUUCAGAUGGAAAGCCCAGCAGCUCCGCUGGGAUGCCGCGUGCCACAUUCCCUGGAGUAGGGGUUCUUAUGCAGGCUCACGACAUCCUAGCCGGGUGACAUCAGGGACACCCGAUAUGUUGGAUUAGCACUGCUUUAAUUGAGGAUGACCUCGUCUUAACCUGAUUACAUCUGCAAAGACCUGUUUCCCAAGCACUUCUGAGAAGAAGACUGCAGGCCUCGAGGGACAGCCAAAGGCGCCACGGCUCAAAACAGGUAAGAACUGCUGUCCCCAGUCAUGGUCCUUGUGACCUGAACAGCCCAGCUUCCAGAGAAGGUUUA